rnacentral:rRNA from 1 species
AGUGAAUAGAUACCCUGGUAGUCCCAGCUGUAAACGAUGCGCGUUAGGUGUAUCGGUGACCACGAGUCACCGAGGUGCCGAAGGGAAACCGUGAAACGUGCCGCCUGGGAAGUACGGUCGCAAGGCUGAAACUUAAAGGAAUUGGCGGGGGAGCACCACAACAGGUGGAGCCUGCGGUUUAAUCGGACUCAACGCCGGGAAGCUCACCGGAUAAGACAGCUGAAUGAUAGCCGGGUUGAAGACUCUGCUUGACUAGCUGAGAGGAGGUGCAUGGCCGUCGUCAGUUCGUACUGUGAAGCAUCCUGUUAAGUCAGGCAACGAGCGAGACCCACGCCAACAGUUGCCAGCAUGUCCUCCGGGAUGGUGGGGACACUGUUGGGACCGCCUCUGCUAAAGAGGAGGAAGGAAUGGGCAACGGUAGGUCAGCAUGCCCCGAAUUAUCCGGGCUACACGCGGGCUACAAUGGUCAGGACAAUGGGUAUCAACACCGAAAGGUGAAGGCAAUCU